rnacentral:rRNA from 1 species
CAGUAGCCGCGGGAACACAGAGGGUGCAAGCGUUAAUCGGAAUUACUGGGCAUAAAGCGCGCGUAGGUGGUUUGUUAAGUUGGAUGUGAAAUCCCCGGGCUCAACCUGGGAACUGCAUCCAAAACUGGCAAGCUAGAGUAUGGUAGAGGGUGGUGGAAUUUCCUGUGUAGCGGUGAAAUGCGUAGAUAUAGGAAGGAACACCAGUGGCGAAGGCGACCACCUGGACUGAUACUGACACUGAGGUGCGAAAGCGUGGGGAGCAAACAGGAUUAGAUACCCCUGUAGUCCCUGUCUCUUAUAC